rnacentral:rRNA from 1 species
UACGAAGGGGGCUAGCGUUGUUCGGAAUCACUGGGCGUAAAGGGCGCGUAGGCGGCCGAUCAAGUCGGGGGUGAAAGCCUGUGGCUCAACCACAGAAUGGCCUUCGAUACUGUUCGGCUCGAGACCGGAAGAGGUUAGUGGAACUGCGAGUGUAGAGGUGAAAUUCGUAGAUAUUCGCAAGAACACCAGUGGCGAAGGCGGCUGACUGGUCCGGAUCUGACGCUGAGGCGCGAAAGCGUGGGGAGCAAACAGG